rnacentral:rRNA from 1 species
AGAGUUUGAUCAUGGCUCAGAUUGAACGCUGGCGGCAGGCCUAACACAUGCAAGUCGAGCGGAUGACAGGAGCUUGCUCCUGAAUUCAGCGGCGGACGGGUGAGUAAUGCCUAGGAAUCUGCCUGGUAGUGGGGGACAACGUCUCGAAAGGGACGCUAAUACCGCAUACGUCCUACGGGAGAAAGCAGGGGACCUUCGGGCCUUGCGCUAUCAGAUGAGCCUAGGUCGGAUUAGCUAGUUGGUGAGGUAAUGGCUCACCAAGGCGACGAUCCGUAACUGGUCUGAGAGGAUGAUCAGUCACACUGGAACUGAGACACGGUCCAGACUCCUACGGGAGGCAGCAGUGGGGAAUAUUGGACGAUGGGCGAAAGCCUGAUCCAGCCAUGCCGCGUGUGUGAAGAAGGUCUUCGGAUUGUAAAGCACUUUAAGUUGGGAGGAAGGGCAUUAACCUAAUACGUUAGUGUUUUGACGUUACCGACAGAAUAAGCACCGGCUAACUCUGUGCCAGCAGCCGCGGUAAUACAGAGGGUGCAAGCGUUAAUCGGAAUUACUGGGCGUAAAGCGCGCGUAGGUGGUUCGUUAAGUUGGAUGUGAAAGCCCCGGGCUCAACCUGGGAACUGCAUUCAAAACUGACGAGCUAGAGUAUGGUAGAGGGUGGUGGAAUUUCCUGUGUAGCGGUGAAAUGCGUAGAUAUAGGAAGGAACACCAGUGGCGAAGGCGACCACCUGGACUGAUACUGACACUGAGGUGAGAAAGCGUGGGGAGCAAACAGGAUUAGAUACCCUGGUAGUCCACGCCGUAAACGAUGUCAACUAGCCGUUGGGAGCCUUGAGCUCUUAGUGGCGCAGCUAACGCAUUAAGUUGACCGCCUGGGGAGUACGGCCGCAAGGUUAAAACUCAAAUGAAUUGACGGGGGCCCGCACAAGCGGUGGAGCAUGUGGUUUAAUUCGAAGCAACGCGAAGAACCUUACCAGGCCUUGACAUCCAAUGAGCUUUCCAGAGAUGGAUUGGUGCCUUCGGGAACAUUGAGACAGGUGCUGCAUGGCUGUCGUCAGCUCGUGUCGUGAGAUGUUGGGUUAAGUCCCAUAACGGGCGCAACCCUUGUCCUUAGUUACCAGCACGUCAUGGUGGGCACUCUAAGGAGACUGCCGGUGACAAACCGGAGGAAGGUGGGGAUGACGUCAAGUCAUCAUGGCCCUUACGGCCUGGGCUACACACGUGCUACAAUGGUCGGUACAGAGGGUUGCCAAGCCGCGAGGUGGAGCUAAUCCCACAAAACCGAUCGUAGUCCGGAUCGCAGUCUGCAACUCGACUGCGUGAAGUCGGAAUCGCUAGUAAUCGCGAAUAAGAAUGUCGCGGUGAAUACGUUCCCGGGCCUUGUACACACCGCCCGUCACACCAUGGGAGUGGGUUGCACCAGAAGUAGCUAGUCUAACCUUCGGGAGGACGGUUACCACGGUGUGAUUCAUGACUGGGGUGAAGUCGUAACAAGGUA